rnacentral:lncRNA from 1 species
CUCCCUAGGUCACGGCAUCCUCCCCGCGAGGUCCCAUCUUCCACGGAGGCUCCGUUAGGUCAGCCAGUCCCGGCCACUGCGGGGCCCACAGUCCCGAAGCAGGCCCUCGGGUGGCGGGCGAGAAAGCCGCUCCUCCCAGGCUGGUCCCCACGGACCCAGCGGGGAAAGUGGUCUGGGGAAGGGUUUCCACCCGCUUCACAGGGAAGAAGUGGCUUCGACGUAGUGUUGGACAAGCUAGGAGGAGGGCUUAGGCCACCUUUAGCCCACGGAUGCCAAGAUGAUAUCUACUGGCAGCUCCUCUGAGCUUCUGGCUGUCACCUGCAUCGUCACUGUGUCCAAAAGCAGAAGCCGAGACCGCACAAGGAUGUCAUGACCACCCCGGAACACUCCUCUCACUUAGCAGAUACCUGCCACUGUGGGGACAUGGUGGGCUUCAGGACACAGAGCAAGCCCGAGGUACCCAAUAUAAGUGGCACUGCUUCAUCCGACAACAGUCAUUUCUCCAGCAGAUUCUGUACUUCAACUGUGUCCUCUAGGCCCAAAAUAGACGGAACCCUAUUGUCAUCUCAGCUGUGAAUGUAACAUAACACUCCCAUUCAGUCAGCCUGCACUGGCAGUGUCCACGCAACAAAUUCUUUUUUCAUUCUUCCAACAGAUCUUCACAGAAAACUGUUCUUGCAGGUGUUUACAGGGCAUAUAUACAGCAACCAAUGUAGUGAAAGGCAAGCCCUAGCUAUAGCUCCUGGGAGAAGAGGUCUUAAGGCAUUUCCUGCCUCAGUCAUUUUGGCUCAGGAAUGGCCAUCUCUACUUUGGUCCUUAUUCUAUACAAGUGUGAAUGUCAGAUGCAUGCUAGUGACUAAGGAACUGUGGCCCAGCAGAGCAAAGGGGCCCAAUUAUCUAGAAAGCAACAUUAUAAGAGCAAUUCAAGUCUUAAAAAUCUUGCUUUCCUUUUGAGCCAAUUAAGAAUUAUCCUAAGAAAAAUAAUCAGAAAUGUGCUGGGCAUGGAGGUGCAUGCCUUUAACACCAGAACUCAGGAGGCAAAGGCAGGCAGAUCUUCAAAGUGAGUCCAGGACAGCAAGGGUUCUGUUAUACAGAAAAACCCCAUCUUGAAUCGUCCCNCCCCCCCCCCC